UGCCGCGUGAGUGAAGAAGGCCUUCAGGGUUGUAAAGCUCUUUCGGCCGGNAAAAAAUCGCAUGGGUUAAUACCCUGUGUGGAUGAUGGUACCGGAAUAAGAAGCACCGGCUAACUACGUGCCAGCAGCCGCGGUAAUACGUAGGGUGCGAGCGUUAAUCGGAAUUACUGGGCGUAAAGCGUGCGCAGGCGGUUUGAUAAGACAGGCGUGAAAUCCCCGGGCUCAACCUGGGAACUGCGUUUGUGACUGUCUCACUAGAGUACGGCAGAGGGGGGUGGAAUUCCACGUGUAGCAGUGAAAUGCGUAGAGAUGUGGAGGAACACCAAUGGCGAAGGCAGCCCCCUGGGUCGAUACUGACGCUCAUGCACGAAAGCGUGGGUAGCAAACAGGAUUAGAUACCCUGGUAGUCCACGCCCUAAACGAUGUCAACUAGGUGUUGGGUGGGUAAAACCAUUUAGUACCGUA
rnacentral:rRNA from 1 species